rnacentral:lncRNA from 1 species
GUGCCUCCAGAGCAACGAGCCAGGGCUGCACCGGCCGCUUCCUCAGCAACGGUGCACCGAGGUGGAGGGACAGGAGGCUGGGGCACGGCCAUACCGGGGAAUACAAUACAGCAAAGAAAACGGACAGGCCCGCAAGUAUAACACUGUGCACGGCCUCACAGGCGCACGACGCCACGCACGGUCUCAGGCGUACCGCACCGCGCACAGUCUCACAGGCGCACGACGCCGCGCACAGUCUCACAGGCGCACGACGCCGCGCACGGCCUCACGGGCGCACGACGCCACGCACGGUCUCAGGCGUAUCACACCGCGCACAGCCUCACAGGCGCACGACGCCGCGCACGGCCUCACAGACACAGUGGCCGGGCCCUGCAGAGCACGCGCUGCAAGAGUCCGUUUCUGGAAAAUUAAAAAUCAGGCAGCAACACUCUGUGGUGCUAGAGUUCAGGAUGGUGGCCCCCCUGACAGCGGAGUGACCAGAGGGGCCUUGUGGGUCAGGCCCGUGGCCGCGUGCGCGAUGCUUUGUGGCGCCUGUCAGGCCGCACGCUUCUGUGUGCUGUGCCACAAGGAUGCGUUGACUUGCAAAAAUGAUGUCACAGGAUGCUCUCUGUUGACAUCCCCUGUGGGCUGGACACAGGGUGGCCGGGGGCCCUGGUGGGCUGUGUGGCUGGUCAGCUCGGUCCGAAGCUCGUCCUCUCUGGGCCACUCCCUGCCACCUUCCCCUCUCAGGAGCGUCACGGUGCCCUCUAUCCUUCAGGCGUGUGUGCGUGAGUGUGCAUGCAUGUACGUGGGUGCAUGGGGGUGCAUGCAUGUGUGUACGUGGGUGCAUGUGUGCAUAUCAACAAGUGAAAAUCAACAAGGCAACAAAGCAUGAGGUUCUAUUUUGGAAAUAGACACAUGCAUAGAAAGACGCCUAGACCAAAAAUGCGAUCGUGGUUGCCGGGCAGGCCACUGUCGCAGCAGCCGUCUCCCUGUUGCUGUGGUUUUUUUGUUGUUGUUGUUGAGACGGAGUCUCGCUCUGUCGCCCAGGCUGCAGUGCAGUGGUGCGAUCUAGGCUCACUGCAAGCUCCGCCUCCCGGG